rnacentral:ncRNA from 1 species
CAAAGGUUUGGUCCUGGCCUUAUAAUUAGUUAGAGGCAAGAUUACACAUGCAAAUAUCCAUAAACCGGUGUAAAAUCCCUUAGACAUUUACUCAAAAUUUAAGGAGAGGGUAUCAAGCACAUUAAAUAGCUUAAGACACCUUGCCCAGCCACACCCCCACGGGACUCAGCAGUGAUAAAUAUUAAGCAAUAAACGAAAGUUUGACUAAGCUAUGCCUCUUAGGGUUGGUAAAUUUCGUGCCAGCCACCGCGGUCAUACGAUUAACCCAAAUUAAUUAUUAUCGGCGUAAAACGUGGUAACUAUAAUAAAAAAAAAUAGAAUUAAAAUCCAACUUAUAUGUGAAAAUUCAUUGUUAUGGACCUAAACUCAAUAACGAAAGUAAUUCUAAUUUCUAUUAACACGAUAGCUAAGAUCCAAACUGGGAUUAGAUACCCCACUAUGCUUAGCCCUAAAUCUAAAUAAUUUAGUAACAAAAUUAUUNNNNNNNNNNNNNNNNNNNNNNNNNNNNNNNNNNNNNNNCUUGGCGGUACUUUAUAUCCCCCUAGAGGAGCCUGUUCUAUAAUCGAUAAACCCCGUUACACCUCACCAUCUCUUGCUAAUUCAGCCUAUAUACCGCCAUCUUCAGCAAACCCUAAAAAGGUAGCAAAGUAAGCACAAGAAUAAACAUAAAAACGUUAGGUCAAGGUGUAGCCAAUGAGAUGGGAAGAAAUGGGCUACAUUUUCUUUUAAAAGAACAAUACGGAAUCCUUUAUGAAAUUUAAAGGAUGAAGGCGGAUUUAGUAGUAAAUUAAGAAUAGAGAGCUUAAUUGAAUAGAGCAAUGAAGUACGUACACACCGCCCGUCACCCUCCUCAAACUAAAUUCACUUAAUUAUACAUAAUUCCUAUUACCCAAUUUACUAGAGGAGAUAAGUCGUAACAAGGUAAGCAUACUGGAAAGUGUGCUUGGAAUAAU